rnacentral:lncRNA from 1 species
CUUAAUCUGGUGGGCACAAUCUAAUCAGCUGCCAGCAAAUAUAAAGAUGGCAGAAAAAGGUGAAAGGGUGAGAAUGGCCUAGACUCCCAACCUACAUCUUUCUCCCAUGCUGGAUGCUUCCUGCCCUCGAACAUCAGACUCUAAAUCCUUCAGCUUUGAGACUUGGACUGGCUCUCCUUGCUCCUCAAGCUGGCAGACAGCCUACUGUGGGAAAUUGUGAUCAGAGUCUACAGAUUUCACUGAAUCAGAUGACUGAGUUGAACUUGAGAUGUGAUCCAAAAAAGAAAGCUUCUGUAAAAUUCCUGAAAGCUCUUUGGCAGCGCAUUUCACUGUAGUGGGCAUCUACACAUCUGAGAAAAUUUUGAUAAUGGGAACAUGAAAGGGGAUGAUAGAGAAACAAUGACACUCAGCAGAAGUAAAAGCUCUUAACACCUCUCAUUUCAGCUUUAUGAAGUGAAAAGUACAAUACAUACUCCCAAGAUCAUUCUGUCCUUUACUGGUAAACGACACUUGGUGCCAAUAAAUCUAUGGAGAAAUUAUCAACUUUUGUUCCUACAUCAUACAAAAAUAUAGAUUUCCCCAUAAUGUGACAAUCGUAUUUUUUCAAAAAAAAAUUAAUGAUGCAUUGCAUGGUAGCAAUUAGACCUAGAAAAGACAACGUGAACUUGGUGAAAUACAAGGAACAAGAUGACACAAACAAAUCCUUUUGAAUAUUUGGUGUAUAUUCUACCCAAUAAACACACAUAUCCUCCCCUAUCUUAUUUGUUCAAUUCCCUUCUCUCCCUCAGUUGAAGCAAUUGAAAGGAAAAUCUUAUUCUUAGCCACUAUUUAGCAUUCUCAGUAAUUAUUCACAUUAGUUUCUGCUUAGUAUCUGAAGCUUACAUUCCCCAGAUGAUUAUUUCUUGCUGCUUAUGAUAAGAUAUAAACUGGGUUCACAUGAACAAGAAUUAUUAUUUAAUAAAUACUUAAUCUGUUUAAAUAAACCUAUAUUUUUAUCAGUAACAUCUCUCAAAAAUAUUGUUUGGAAAGAGAUCACCACUCUGGGGUGAAGAGAAGGGUGGAGAUUUAAAUAUUAAAUCUCCUAUGACAUAAUUCUAAUAUAUUUUGAUAGAGGCAUGCCCUACUGUUGUGAGUGUUACUUUAUGAAUAAACUGGGACCCAAAGAGAUUUGGUAAUCAAAUAGUCAAUAAAUGUAAUAUUCCAUGUAUAUGUGAAAUUGUAUAAUUGAGCUUCAAACCUAUUAAAAACUAAAGUGUUCAUUUAUAUUCAUAAUUAGGGCAUGAAAUAUGGAACAUAAGAGAAUUUGUUCUUUGGUGG